rnacentral:rRNA from 1 species
UACGAAGGGUGCAAGCGUUGUUCGGAAUUAUUGGGCGUAAAGGGUUCGUAGGUGGAAUCGUAAGUCAAGUGUGAAAUCUCCGAGCUUAACUUGGAACGUGCAUUUGAAACUGUGAUUCUUGAGUAUUGGAGAGGAUAGUGGAAUUGCUGGUGUAGGAGUGACAUCCGUAGAGAUCAGCAGGAACACCAGAGGCGAAAGCGACUAUCUGGCCGAUUACUGACACUGAGGAACGAAAGCGUGGGGAGCAAACAGG